rnacentral:sRNA from 1 species
GACAUAAACUGGUUCUCUAGUCCAUAAUCACUUUGUAAAGUAGUAGGGUGAAGGUCAGAGUAUUGCCACUGUAAUAUAGGGAACAUUUUUUUACUCAAAUGCUCAUUUGUAUGAUGAUUGACAUUUAUAUAGAGUGUAGCUCACUCACAGAAAGUUCAUGUUAGCCAUCACUAAGUGCACAGUUUCACUUCAUGCACAUGUAUCGCAGGAUUUCCAAAGUUCAGAACAUCUACGUUCAUAUUCAUAACACAUAAGUCUCCGUGAUUUUGUAUUCAAAUGAUGAAGCGGGGAAGGUACCAGUUAUUUACUGUAAGUACAGAUUUAUCCUUAAAAAAUGUCAAUAACUAAUCAUCUUGGUGUAUUUGAUGACAAAAAACACACCUCCUCAUAUAUGGAGGUUGUUCUCUUCAAUACAUGUACCAGUAAAUUAAAGAAGCAUGUGUUUUGUUGUGGUUUUAAAGGUAAAAUUUCAAGUUUAAGGGGUUUCAACACCAAUUUCAAAUAUAAAGUAAGUAGAUGUUUUGGGGGUUUGGGUUUUUAUUUUUUAAGAAAUUGCAGCCUUAGAGUAAAGAUUACUGCAAGUUUUAGUUAGGCCACACCAAUAUAAUUACUUGUUUGUCGAAUAUCCUGUGAAAAAAGGUACAAGCGAUUAAGAAAUAAAAUUAUUAUUUUUUUGUUGCCAACAUUUUUAGGCAGUACUUAAAUAAAUUUGUGCGGACGGUAAUAUUUUUUCUACUUGAUUCUGAUUUAUAAAUUAGAACUAUUUAAAAUGCCAAAAAUAGAGUGGAGAUAGAACAGAGAACAGCACAGAAUUUCCUGGAUGCGGGAAAUUAAUAAUGAUAUUAUUUGUAUAGUUUAAUUUAAAUACGAGCACGCGGGAUCCAACGAACAAGAAAUUUUAUUGGUGUGGCAUUGAUAUUGGAUCAUAUUAUCAUAGGAUAGAUCAUAUUCUCAUCCAUCAGCAUUCUAUUUGUGUUUUCUCAUUCUUGAAUUAGAAAAUGUAUGGUUUAGAGUUAUUCUUCUCAAAAUUAAAAUAAAGUCUUCUCAGUAUUUUUAUUCAUUGAGAAUUGUUUAAAUAUUGUUGGGGCUAUUUUUCCCCACUCAAUGUGUAUCCAGUCAGCAGGUUGUAUCGUUGAAAAUUGUAGAGAUUGACUUUGCCUAUUAGUAGUUAGGAUAAAUUUUUCUCUUUCUCUGUGAUUUCCAGUAUUUGAUAAUUAAAAUUUAAGAUUAUGUUUCCUAUUCUUGUAGUACACUAACAAAGAAUAUGCUUGAUUGGUAAUAAACAUUUUUUUAAAC